UCAUUUGUCUUGCCGUUUAAGCUGUCUCUGGAAAGUGAGAGAGAAGAAGCCCGAAGGCAGCAGACCAUGUAAAGCCCUGCCGUGUCAGAAACUGUGCCACUCACUGGCACCCUAUAGCCAGCGGCCAGGAAAGCUACCCAACUCGGAGGUCUCUCCUUCCCACUCGGGUACCAACAGUAACCAGACUCUGGGCGAAAGAGUCCAGACUAAACUGAAAGCUAUUACUUGUAACCACGAACGUGGUCUUCCCCAACCAGAGGAUCUUUCCAAAGUGCAUCUGUGAUCACUUCACCUUCUUGAGCACAACCUCCCACUGGCUCCCCAGCGCCCUUUAUUCACAGGCUGGGCCCCAGCCGUCCUCCUCUCCGGAGCUGCCUCCCUCCCUCCCUCCUUCCCUCCUCAGGCUCUCCGGGUUCACCCUCGGUCUUCUCUCCCUGAGCCCCGUUCUGUAUUUCGCUCUGCAGCUCCUGCUCCCCCAAAAGGGCCCACCUCUCACUCAAAAUCUGAGGUCCUUCUGGGCAAGAGCUGCACACCUAACAGAUGCACAGGAAGCCUUCGUGGGAAAAUAGAUGGGUCCAGGCAGCAGACGGGAGGAAGCUUCCAGUCAUGAUUAAGCCAGAGGGUGAGUAACUGCCACAGUCCAAGGCAGGGAUUGGCGAAGUGUGGCCUGCAGCCACGCCUGUCUGUCUACACUCUGCCUCUGGCUGCGCGGGUGCUGCUGGAACGGCAGAGCUGAGUAGCUGUGACAGAGCGAAUGAGCCACAAGCCUGAAAGAGUUACUCCCUGGACCUUUCCAGAAAGUUUUUCGACACCAGGCCUAAGGCAGCGUUCCCAUCGAUUUCCACACUGUGACACAACAAAAAGGUGAUUUUUCUGUGGCCCACUGGGCUAAACAAAGAAUGCCACUGGUAGGUAGAGACACCUUGUCACCCCAAAGGCCAAUGCAAUCAGUGUCUCUCUCAGUAAACCCUAACCUUUCAGAACUCUGACCUAAAGGCUCAAAACCACCACUGCCUUUUUAGCCCCCGUCCCCAACAGAGGUAUAGAAACACAGAAGUGCAGAGACCCACCCCGACUCCUCCUCGGGUCUCCCUGCGCACCUGUGCAGAACGAGCCAGAGGUGGCAGGACAGACACAAAACUGAGGCCCAAAGCAAAUUCUCCAGCAGUCUUACAAUUUUGCCUUUCCCCUUCCCUAUAGUGCUCUGUGGAGCAGGUGUGUACCUUCCCCCGGCUGAAGACCCUGCUGUGCAAACGUUGAAUCCAAUGAACUCCAGCCCUUGCCCAGGUGAAGAAGCCAAAACAUUACUUUUUUUAAAAAGCAGAAACCUCUGUACCAACGAACAUCCAGUACCUGCCACUCCCUUUGACUGGCAAACGCAGCAGAGCAGAAACGCAGGGAAAGGGUAAGAUGCUGACUGACCGGCCCAUAAACCUCUCUGUCCUUUGCCAAAGGAGACGCUUCCCAGAGAGCACAAGAAGGGGGCUCCGAGCCUCUGCACCCAUGAGAAUGUCGGGCCCACCGAGUCCCCGCUUCCCGGCCAAUGGAGAUGGACCUUGCUACACUGCAACGCCUCUCCCCGCCACCACCCCCCUUUCCUGUCUUUUGGUCCCAGGCACCUACUGAACAGUGGCCCCCAGUUCCCCGGCUGCACGUGGCGUUUCUGUGGUUCCCUGGCCCCAUAACCUCCUGCUGGGCCCAGGCAAGGAGCCUGGACUAUGAAGAGAUGCCAUUCCUGCCUCUGACGCCCUCAGCCAGCCUCCUUCAUCCUUCAGCCAGGCACCUGCAACAGCCUCUGACUCCUUCCUUUGGUCCUUCCCCAUCCAGCUGUCCAAACUGAUCCUCCAGAAUUCUCUCACCGUUCUGGAAGAUGGUCAGCAAAACGAAUCAAUGAAACAUGAAAACUCCCAGCUGAGAUGGGCCCUCUUGUGUACGUCUAGCCACUAAUGCACAGGAUGAGAAUGGUAAGUUCACAGCUACUUCCAGCAAGUGACGAGGUUUUAUUAAAGUAUCACCCACCACUAAUAAAGACAAAAGGUCAAGGAGCAGAAGUAACAAGCAUGGGGUAAAAAUUUUAUUUCUGAUAAGUAACACUAACAUUUGUUUUAAACUAUCUGUUUCAUUCUCAUUUAGCGGUCCCAAAGAAAUCUGGUACAUAAAUUUGCCAUAUUUUGUGAAGCCCAUUCUCAGAGAUGGGUACUGUUCAGCUCCAAAAAACAGAAAUGAAGAAAGACGAGGAAAGCUAAUUCAUACUAAAAACGGACAUUUUUAAGACACAGCAAAACUUGUAAAUAUCAACAUGGGACCACACUGUUGCCUUCAUGGGGCAGCACUCAACAAGAACUGGGACAAUCGAAGAGCAAGUUUUUAUGGGGACCCUGUUGCUGCUUUAGAUUCUGAUGUAAUUGAAGAGGAUAAGAGACCCUUCAAAGAAUCCCAGAAAAAUCGCUAAUCUUCUCUCUGCAUGAAAAAAGCCAGGGAGUGAACACAGUAUCUUACAGAGUGAAGAAGGCCACAAGAACAAGAGAGGGCUAUAAAAGAACUUCCUUUUUAAAAGCUUCAGAAGACAGGCCUUUCACAGAGGUCAGUGCAAUGAUGUAAAAGAGAAGCUACUACAGAGCAGAGAGGCAGACAGCAGGAUUCCUCUCACAAUCACUGCCACUAGCUGAUGGCUGCUGACCCUUCGCGCAUGAGGGAAACGUCCCAUGACCCAGCAGCUGGACAAAACUGGACGAGCACAUCACCAAAGGCAAGAGUUCGCCUCAAUAACCUGCCUACUACUGUUUAAUGAAAGCUGCUUCCUUUAAAUAAGACAUUAAAUGAGGGGGGAAAAAAUUAAAUUUCCAUAGAAAUAGUGAGAUGCCCAGAAAAAUGUCUUAAUUUUGGACACACAAAAAAUAUCAAACUGUAACCACUCUCUCACGCUGUCUUUCAGCGCUCUCUGUCUCCUUCAGUGGUGCCACCAUCCAAUCUACUUCCUCCAGCAUAAGAUCCUGGGAGGGGCCUGAAGCCUCACUGUCUCGUCCUCCACAUUCAAUCCAUCAAUUCUGCUCCUGAAGUUCUUCCAUCUGCUCGCUUCUUGACCCCCAUCUGCUUCCCUGUACCCACUGGAGAUCCUCCAUGGCCUCUAGUCUAGUCUUUGAGCAUACAAAAACCUUCUACUUUGUCUUGGCAUGCCAACUUCUGUCCUUACAAGCCAUUCUUCAUGCUACAGAGAGUGAUCUUUACAAAUUAAGGCUGAAAGUCUUAUCUCCUUACUCCUCUUAGAACCCUUCAUGACUUCCCCCAUACUUAGGUACUAAGACCAAAAUCCAAACCACAGCCUCCAGGACGGGACUGAGUACCCACUUUAGCUCAAAUUUCCCCCACCCCCUCCCCCUUCACCCACACACAGUGCUCUCCACACUACAGACAUGUUGGCCUCCUCCUAAUUCUUCAAAUGAGCCAAGUUCCCUCCUACCAGCACCAUAGGGUGCUGAUGUGCUAUUCCCUGUGUGCGGUGUUCUUCCGUCCCAAUCUUCUCUGAGUUAACUCCUACUCAUUCUUCAAAGCUCAGUUCAAGUGUCACAUCUUCAGGGAAACCUUCGAGUCCCUGACAGACUAGACCAGGUUUUUCUGUCACGUUCCCUCACAGUAUCGUGCCCCUCUCCUUCAUCACAGCAACUGAGUCAGUCGUGAGUAUUCCAUUAGUAUGUCUCACCUUUAGACCAAACACUGCAGGAGAACAAAAUCCAUGUCUGCUGUGUGUCAAAGCAGGCACACAAUAUUUGAAUAAGAGUACACAUUGUUUAUAUGACACAUCUUUGAGCUAUGCCCCUACUGGGAUCAACUUCUAGAAGCUUAAUUCCAAAGCCACAUCAUCCACAGACCUUCCCAAAAAGCCUAUUCUAAUUCUUUCUUGGAAAAAAAAAAACACAACCUAAGUGAACUUCUUAAGAGUGUUAUGCAAACAAAUAAUGACGGGAUAAGACCCAAUCUUUAUGACAAUUUCAUCUUGAUCAACAACUACUAGUAGUUUAGUUGUCAAGUUCAAAGUUCCAUACUUGCAAUAUUACAGAGAAUUUGAUUUUAAUGAGACAGAGGUACAGCUACUGCUAAGAUGAUACAAGGAUCAGAAGAGAAGGCAAGCAGAGGGCAUCUUUUCCCAUCUUCCUCAAGCCAUGUGGUGAAAUGGAAAGAGUAUAAACUUUGGAACUAGAAACACCUACAUUCAAAUCUUUGCUCUGCUGUUUACAAGAUGUCUCACACUGAGCUAGUUGCCUUACCUCCCUAAAACUUAGUUUCCUCACCCGGAAAAAUGAAAAUAAUUUCUACUUGAGGAAACACUGUGAAGGUUAAAAACAAUUAAGUGAAAUCAUUUAUAUGAAAGUAUCUAGUGUAUUCUCAGCUCUAGAUAAGUAAGUUCCCCCUUUCCUCUUUUCGUACUUCUUCAGCCCCUGAUGGUUCCCCAACAUAGAGUUAAAGAAAUGCUGACAUCGCCAGGCUUCACCUCAAUUAAGUAGCUCUUACCAGCCAUUUUUCUCACCUGUGAUACCCAAUCUGUCGUCUAUGUCCCCACCGAAUACACUCUGCUCAGGUAUCCAAACUCCCCAAUCUGUGGAAUAUCUUUGAGCUUCCUCAUUGUCAAAAUAUGUCCCCUCAACCAAGCGCAAUACUCAUCUGUCACCUCCCUCCAGAAAGCCUCUAGUCACUCAGCAGAUUCCAGGAGAAAACCUGUAACAUUCUGUAGAUUCUUUUCUUUUGAAAUUCGGUGCACACCCGUUCUAUACCCAUAUUAUGUUUCCAGAAACCCUGUAUAACCCUGGAAAAUAAAGGAGAGGCUGUUCUUGGAACUCUGGCCCAGAAAAGGAGGCAGAUGUCUCACAGGGUGCA